rnacentral:tRNA from 1 species
UGGCUCAGUUGGUAGAGCAUGGUGAUUGCAACGCCAGCAUGGUGUGUGCAAUGCCAGGGUUGUGGGUUCAAUUCCCAC